CCUACGGGAGGCAGCAGUGAGGAAUAUUGGUCAAUGGGCGCAAGCCUGAACCAGCCAAGUAGCGUGAAGGAUGAAGGUUCUAUGGAUUGUAAACUUCUUUUAUAAGGGAAUAAACCCACCUACGUGUAGGUGUCUGUAUGUACCUUAUGAAUAAGGACCGGCUAACUCCGUGCCAGCAGCCGCGGUAAU
rnacentral:rRNA from 2 species